ACAUGCAAGUCGAACGCGCAGCGAAAGGUGCUUGCACCUUUCAAGCGAGUGGCGAACGGGUGAGUAACACGUGGAUAACCUGCCUCAAGGCUGGGGAUAACAUUUGGAAACAGAUGCUAAUACCGAAUAAAACUUAGUAUCGCAUGAUACAAAGUUGAAAGGCGCUACGGCGUCACCUAGAGAUGGGUCCGCGGUGCAUUAGUUAGUUGGUGGGGUAAAGGCCUACCAAGACAAUGAUGCAUAGCCGAGUUGAGAGACUGAUCGGCCACAUUGGGACUGAGACACGGCCCAAACUCCUACGGGAGGCUGCAGUAGGGAAUCUUCCACAAUGGGCGCAAGCCUGAUGGAGCAACGCCGCGUGUGUGAUGAAGGCUUUCGGGUCGUAAAGCACUGUUGUAUGGGAAGAAAUGCUAAAAUAGGGAAUGAUUUUAGUUUGACGGUACCAUACCAGAAAGGGACGGCUAAAUAC
rnacentral:rRNA from 1 species